AGUCGUACGAGAGUUUUUAACUCAAGUGGCGGACGGGUGAGUAACACGUAAGAAUUUGCCUUUAGGAGGGGGACAACAACUGGAAACGGUUGCUAAUACCCCAUAUGCUUUCGAGUGAAAUGGAUUUUUCCGCCUAGAGAGAAGCUUGCGGCUGAUUAGCUUGUUGGUGAGGUAAUGGCUCACCAAGGCGACGAUCAGUAUCUGGUUUGAGAGGACGAUCAGACACACUGGAACUGAGACACGGUCCAGACUCCUACGGGAGGCAGCAGUGGGGAAUUUUCCGCAAUGGGCGAAAGCCUGACGGAGCAAUACCGCGUGA
rnacentral:rRNA from 1 species